UUUAAAUUUGUCCAUAUUUAAAACUAAAAGACUACCCCGUAAUUAUGAGAGUCUCACAGGAUCUCGUGCAAAACCUAACAUUCAUCGUUAAGCUCGCGCUGGUUCUGGGUAAAGAUUUGGAGAGGAGAUCGGCGCGGGGAGGGGACGUAUACCAUAUAUAAGGGACAAACGAAGUAGACUUUCCAAUUUCUGAUCAAUGUAGCCAGCACCGGCAGCGUCUACAUCGGUCACAUUCUACGAUUUAAUGAUCGAAUGCGAAACCCGGCUUCCCUUGAUCUCGGUCAGAUCCAUCACAAUUUAUUCAUCGUUUUACGCGGCAAAUCCUGAGAAUGAUGGCAAAAGACUGCAAGACAUCUUCUUGAUAAUGGGAUUUGCUAUCAGGGAACAUCCUUUAUGUAGACGGGUGCUACUGAAGAAGAAGUUGACCGUGCAAUGGAGGGGAUGCAUAGUUUGAUCUUGAAAUCCUGGACAAAACAUGCUUGUUGCAAAUUAUCAAGUGUAUUCAUAACACUGUCACUUGUACAUUUUACCAUGUGCCUAUUCAGAUGAUAUACUCAGUCUGUUAUUAAGUUCUAACUAAUUGAUGAGCUGGAGAAGUUUAUAAUAUUUCUCGACUACAUGGCCCAUGAGUCCACAAUGCUUACAAACUGGUCGUUCCUUCUUGGACAAAGGCUUGGUAGAGCGUGGAUUAUCAGAAUUAGCAGCAAAAGCAUGUGCUUCAGAGGAGGGGAUAGUGCCAUCUGAGAUUUCACGCUGUUACUUUUCUUGCAAUGUAAGUGAUAAAACCUUGUUAAGAGCAGGUGAAGGCUCCAUUAACAGGAUCUAGGCCCUUGCAAUGGAAAAAGACUCAUCGAGUCCCAUUAGGAAUUGACGAAUAUGCUCUUGUUGGACAUAAGCAUUAAGAGUAUGGACUGCUCCGCAAGAACAAGCUGGAACCGGCUUGUAAUUAGUCAACUCAUCCCAAAGAGCUUUCAGGUUAGUGAAAUAGGCUUUUGAAGUUGAAAAAUGUGCGAACCAUCUUCUGAGAGACACUCCUUUAGAUUGGUCCAGAUCUCGUAGGUAGUGUUUAUGUAGACAAUACUAGCAAAAAUUUCACUCGAAAAGGAAUUGAAAAUCCAAGAAAUCACCAUAUUAUUGCAGCGCAUCCAAGAAGAGAGAAGCAGGUCAUUAGGAUUUGCUGGCUUGAGAAUCGUUCUGUUGAUGAACCCUAGCUUGUUCUCGGCAGACAGCGCCAUGGUCAUAGAUCUUGCCCAGGUGAUAGUUGUCUCCGAUUGAAGUUGUGUGACUAGAACACCACUAGGAUUAUCGCUCAGUUGGAGAAAGAAAUGACUGGCAGCAAACAGCUGACAUGGAAGUGUACUUGCAGACUUCAAAGAGAAAUCUGAUACCAAACAAAGAAUGGAAAAAUUAGAAACUUGUUAUUGUAAAAUAAUUGAAUCCCCAUCUACAAACGAGGCAAUCAAGACUCAAGAGAUUUUCACACGGGACAAACCUUAGGAAACGAACGGAUGUGUUGAUUAGGGAUGUACAAUGGUUCCCCCAUAUUCCCAUUUUAGCAAUCCUAAAGCAAAUCCCUAAUUUAGAGAUCCGGAUGGGAGGAAGUUUUUGAAGUUUUCCCAAAAUUUUUCCUCAAAAUAUAUAGUAAGAGACAACAAGCAUUUAGUAAAGCGGAUGAGAAUGCUCUUAGCACAGCCAGGAGGUAUAAAUAAAAAAACUAGUCAUAGGAAAGGUAAGUGUCCCCUUUGUGCAAUUUCUAAGAUUUUAGCUUCUUAGUUGUUUGUAUUCAAAGACAAUAUUGGUUUAAAGUUCAUCUAGGCCUCGUUUGGAUAGUAAUAUGAAAUUAAGUUAUCUGUAAAUAGUAUUGAAAUAAUCUAAAUUAAGAUAUUUUAUAAGGUUUUAAAAAAUGAGGGAAAAAAUUAAAUAAAAAUAUUAUAAAAUUGAAAUAUCAUUAUAAUAUUAUUUUUAUUUUAAAAUUUGAAAAAUUUUAAUUAGUUUUUUUGUGUUGUUUAAAAAUUUAGAAAAAUUUAUAAUCUGUUUGCAAUAUUUAGAUAUUGAGAUGAUAUAAUAUAAGAUGAAAGAAUUUUGCAAUCCAAAUGUGGCCUUACUUGCAUCUAUGAACAGGCUUGCAAAAAUUUUGCUUCUUUUAAAGCUUUUAUAAAUUGGGCAAAACUGUUGAACAGCAUGUAGUCGAAAAUAGAAACUGUACAUAUACAAGAUGAACCACUACACUGUCAACCUACACUAAAUGGCAAAGUUAUGGAGGCAAUGCCAGGGCCAUCUGCCACAACUUCCUCCUUACAAGAUGUACUGGGUAACAAAUCCCCAUUAGUUUCACAACAAAAAUUAGUGACCUCUCUAUAUUCCUUGCUGUAUAAUUUUAAGCAACUCAUGCAAACAAACUUUGUCGGGAUUGCAUCUGAGUUGUCAAUUCCAGCACACCUAGUGUGCUGCCAAACACCACAAGUAUCACAAGCCAGCAUUCUCUCCCCAUCAUCGUCCUUAGCCCCACAUGUGCAAUCAACCGUCCAUUUCUCCAUUCCCCUCUCCAUCCGGAAGCGGUGCAGCCCGUGUUUAGCACGGCAUCUUCCUUGAAUUCGAAUUGAUGCACUCAAUCCAACCAAGAAUCUCAAAGUAAUUGAAUCCUCUAUAAAGCCAAACUCGGGUAGUUUCUCAGACUGAAACCUUCUAAACAUGGCAUACACUUCUUGAAAAGCUUUAGUAGUUUCACUUUUAAGGUCUGCAACAGUUGCAUUCAAGGGCAAGACCACUAGCUCUGGAGGUAGUGCUAGGUCAUCUUUAGGCCGAUCAGAGAGCUCAACAUGACACCAGAGCUGUAUGGCAGAAGGGUUCUCGGCUGCAAUUCUAUCAGGCUCAUAGUCCUUCAUAAAUUGCUUGCAGUCAAGAAGCUUAGUUGCAGAGUCAAAGAGACGUUCCCACAUUGCUUGGGGUUUAAAGUUCACCAUGGUAUCUGGGUGUAGAAUUGAUUCAUAUAAAGAUUUCAGAUCACAAACAAUUUGCUCCUCUGAUGGAUGGUUCAAAUUCAAAUGAAAUCCAUUGUGCACAAGACUAGAAGGCUCAAGCCUGUUUGUCAAAUCCAGGUCAGAACACAAUUUAAUGCAUGAAUGGAAAUAUUGAAGCAACUCAAACCAAAGAAUCUUUGCCCUCUUUACCUGAACUCCACCGCACUGGAAAUGGGAUUGUAAUGAGACACAACCACCAUGCCAUUGGCUGCCAGCUUCCCUCCCAAGUGCUUAAGGCAAUAAUCAAGAAGCCCGGGAGAUGCCGACUUGCACAUUGCGCCCUUAAGAGCACGUCUUGUCACCCAGUUGGCCUCACCAGCUGCUGCAAGUAGCACCUUAAUAAUAGCUUCUUGCACACGUACAACAUCAUUACUUGUCCAUGCCCCCAACACAUUUGAGGUGCUGAACUCAGGCUUCUCAGAUGUACCUGGCUUCAGUUGCUUGCGAACUUUAUGGAUCAAACUCAGCAAAAAAGAGAAAAGAUCCUUGACUGUUCGUAGUGGGGUGUCCGAUAGGGACUGGUAGAAAGCAAUAAUGGCCUGCAGAUGAGUUCGAGCUCCCCUCCCCUGGAACAAAAACGAGGACAAGGGCAUGCCCGAUAUUGUAUCUACAGCUUUCUGGCCAAGGAAAAGUUUUGCAUGUUUAUAGCAGCCAACCAAGGGUUGAAACAAAUGCAAGAGCAUUACGUCCCAGACUAAUUUGCCAAUAAUACAAAAGUUAAAAGUGCCCCGCUGCCCAUAAUAAAGACAGUCCUUGUCUCUGUCUUAGAGUACACCCUCGCCACAUUGUGUGGAAAUUUUUAUGAUGAAGUAUUGGUGGUGGUGUUGGCAAUGAAUCCAACACGUAGAGCGCAUUCCAGAAAAUUGGGCGCAAUGGGCAAUGAAUCCAAAACCAAGAGAAAGUAUUAGACAUGAAAUAGAAAUAGAAUGCCACCUGACGCCAAGUGACGUACAGAGCCUGUCCCAGAAGUCCAUAAUGUCACGCCCGGCUAGGAACUUGGAGCCUCCUUCUUUGCCAUUAAGUGUAAGAAGGUGGGCAUAGCCAUUGGAGUGAACAACACCAUGCAGAAGAUGAGUAAGAUCUUCAAGUUGACGAUGCACCCAGUCUUCAGAAUCAUCAUCCACUGUAAUCGCAGAGCUCCAACAUUGACAUAUACUCUUUGAUUCAGAGAGCUGGUUUCCGCAUCUCGAACACGACCUUUGGUAACCAUCCAUCGCAAGCCCACUCUCUUCCCUUCUUACUAUGAAAUGGUAUCGCUUUCGGCACACUGGAUGCCCACUCCAUCCUUUGGAAAAAGCAAUCCAGUAGAACAUAAUUUUAACUCGAAUUAAAAACAAAAUACUAAAUAAUAAUUAAAUAGUUACUGUUACGUUAUCCUCUCGAUAUAUAUAUUUAAUAUUUUGAAGAAUCUCAUGCGAGUCGACUCACCAACGACGCGGCACUGGUCACAGUAGACAGAUCUCCGAGUAGAUCCGGUCACGUCCUCCUCCACCACGUAGAGGACCACGACAACCGGAUCCGGACAGUCGGUUACUCGAAGCAGGACCUGCCACGUCAGCAGGCAUGGUAGCACCGACGGCGUGAGCACGAGCCGCGCGUGCUUCUCCAGAAACACCCGGACGCUGUCCCUGAAGGGCUGCUGGUGGUUGUGGACUCCGACGGUCGACUCCGACUCCUCCGUGGCCGGGAAACUGAAAAAGUCAUUCAGAUCGGCGAAUAUCCUUCUCUUCAUCCUCUUCAACGGCCUUUCGUUCACAACCAUCGCUUGGCGGCUCGCCCGCUUGUUCGCUGUUAACCUACGGACGACGAGAUGGAAGGAGAGUCAACAAAAGGGUCUUCCAAAGCGAGUAAUCAGGAACGUAGAUUGUAGAGUGGGUUCCUUUAUCGAGGGUUCAAUGGCGGUUUGGGACUGUCUGCACUUAUAUUCUGCUUCUUCUUUUUUUUCUCCUUUUUCUUUUUUAAUUAUAAUUUCUUUGUUAAUAAGAGUUACUCAGUGCCACUAUUUUUAUUACCGUUGCCCAGCUUGAGACCACCUCUUUU